ACGAACGCUGGCGGCGUGCCUAAUACAUGCAAGUCGAACGCUUCUUUUUCCACCGGAGCUUGCUCCACCGGAAAAAGAGGAGUGGCGAACGGGUGAGUAACACGUGGGUAACCUGCCCAUCAGAAGGGGAUAACACUUGGAAACAGGUGCUAAUACCGUAUAACAAUCGAAACCGCAUGGUUUUGAUUUGAAAGGCGCUUUCGGGUGUCGCUGAUGGAUGGACCCGCGGUGCAUUAGCUAGUUGGUGAGGUAACGGCUCACCAAGGCGACGAUGCAUAGCCGACCUGAGAGGGUGAUCGGCCACAUUGGGACUGAGACACGGCCCAAACUCCUACGGGAGGCAGCAGUAGGGAAUCUUCGGCAAUGGACGAAAGUCUGACCGAGCAACGCCGCGUGAGUGAAGAAGGUUUUCGGAUCGUAAAACUCUGUUGUUAGAGAAGAACAAGGAUGAGAGUAACUGUUCAUCCCUUGACGGUAUCUAACCAGAAAGCCACGGCUAACUACGUGCCAGCAGCCGCGGUAAUACGUAGGUGGCAAGCGUUGUCCGGAUUUAUUGGGCGUAAAGCGAGCGCAGGCGGUUUCUUAAGUCUGAUGUGAAAGCCCCCGGCUCAACCGGGGAGGGUCAUUGGAAACUGGGAGACUUGAGUGCAGAAGAGGAGAGUGGAAUUCCAUGUGUAGCGGUGAAAGGCGUAGAUAUAUGGAGGAACACCAGUGGCGAAGGCGGCUCUCUGGUCUGUAACUGACGCUGAGGCUCGAAAGCGUGGGGAGCAAACAGGAUUAGAUACCCUGGUAGUCCACGCCGUAAACGAUGAGUGCUAAGUGUUGGAGGGUUUCCGCCCUUCAGUGCUGCAGCUAACGCAUUAAGCACUCCGCCUGGGGAGUACGACCGCAAGGUUGAAACUCAAAGGAAUUGACGGGGGCCCGCACAAGCAGUGGAGUAUGUGGUUUAAUUCGACGCAACGCGAAGAACCUUACCAGGUCUUGACAUCCUUUGACCACUCUAGAGAUAGAGCUUCCCCUUCGGGGGCAAAGUGACAGGUGGUGCAUGGUUGUCGUCAGCUCGUGUCGUGAGAUGUUGGGUUAAGUCCCGCAACGAGCGCAACCCUUAUUGUUAGUUGCCAUCAUUUAGUUGGGCACUCUAGCAAGACUGCCGGUGACAAACCGGAGGAAGGUGGGGAUGACGUCAAAUCAUCAUGCCCCUUAUGACCUGGGCUACACACGUGCUACAAUGGGAAGUACAACGAGUCGCAAAGUCGCGAGGCUAAGCUAAUCUCUUAAAGCUUCUCUCAGUUCGGAUUGUAGGCUGCAACUCGCCUACAUGAAGCCGGAAUCGCUAGUAAUCGCGGAUCAGCACGCCGCGGUGAAUACGUUCCCGGGCCUUGUACACACCGCCCGUCACACCACGAGAGUUUGUAACACCCGAAGUCGGUGAGGUAACCUUUUGGAGCCAGCCGCCUAAGGUGGGAUAGAUGAUUGGGGUG
rnacentral:rRNA from 1 species